GCUUACGGCCAUAUCAGCCUGGCGUACGCCCGAUCUUGUCUGAUCUCGGAAGCUAAGCAGGGUCGGGCCUGGUUAGUACUUGGAUGGGAGACCGCCUGGGAAUACCAGGUGCUGUAAGCA
rnacentral:rRNA from 1 species